UUAAAUUGAAGAGUUUGAUCAUGGCUCAGAUUGAACGCUGGCGGCAGGCCUAACACAUGCAAGUCGAACGGUAAUAGGAAGAAGCUUGCU
rnacentral:rRNA from 1 species